rnacentral:tRNA from 1 species
UUAAUUGAAGCUAAUUUAUUUAAGCCUUUCACUGUUAAUGAAAAAAAAGAAUUUUAUUCCAAUUAAA